rnacentral:rRNA from 1 species
GACGAACCGAGCGAACGUUGUUCGGAAUCACUGGGCUUAAAGGGUGCGUAGGCGGUUUGACAAGUCUGAUGUGAAAUCCCGCAGCUUAACUGCGGAACUGCAUUGGAAACUGUUUGACUAGAGGAAUGGAGGGGAGACUGGAAUACUUGGUGUAGCAGUGAAAUGCGUCGAUAUCAAGUGGAACACCAGUGGCGAAGGCGAGUCUCUGGACAUUUCCUGACGCUGAGGCACGAAAGCCAGGGGAGCAAACGGG